CCAUAUACGACCGUACCGCAAACCGACACUGGUGCGCGAGAUGAGUAUUCUAAGGCGCUUGAGAGAACUCAGGAGAAGGAACUCGGCAAAUUGACACCGUAACUUCGGAAGAAGGUGUGCCCUAUUAGUGUGUAGUGAACAACGAAGCAUGAAUGGGUUGCAAAAAAUCGGUGGCUGCGACUGUUUAUUAAAAACACAGCACUCUGCAAACACGAAAGUGGACGUAUAGGGUGUGACGCCUGCCCGGUGCUGGAAGAUUAAAUGAUGGGGUGCAAGCUCUUGAUUGAAGUCCCAGUAAACGGCGGCCGUAACGAUAACGGUCCUAAGGUAGCGAAAUUCCUUGUCGGGUAAGUUCCGACCUGCACGAAUGGCGUAACGAUGGCCACACUGUCUCCUCCUGAGACUCAGCGAAGUUGAAAUGUUUGUGAUGAUGCAAUCUCCCCGCGGAAAGACGGAAAGACCCCAUGAACCUUUACUGUAGCUUUGUAUUGGACUUUGAACAGAUCUGUGUAGGAUAGGUGGGAGGCUUUGAAGCAGGGUCGCUAGAUCUUGUGGAGCCAACGUUGAAAUACCACCCUGGUGUGUUUGAGGUUCUAACCUAGGUCCAUUAUCUGGAUCGGGGACAGUGCAUGGUAGGCAGUUUGACUGGGGCGGUCUCCUCCCAAAGCGUAACGGAGGAGUUCGAAGGUACGCUAGUUACGGUCGGACAUCGUGACGAUAGUGCAAUGGCAUAAGCGUGCUUAACUGCGAGACUGACAAGUCGAGCAGAUGCGAAAGCAGGACAUAGUGAUCCGGUGGUUCUGUAUGGAAGGGCCAUCGCUCAACGGAUAAAAGGUACUCUGGGGAUAACAGGCUGAUACCGCCCAAGAGUUCAUAUCGACGGCGGUGUUUGGCACCUCGAUGUCGGCUCAUCUCAUCCUGGGGCUGUAGCCGGUCCCAAGGGUAUGGCUGUUCGCCAUUUAAAGAGGUACGUGAGCUGGGUUUAAAACGUCGUGAGACAGUUUGGUCCCUAUCUUCCGUGGGCGCUGCAGAUUUGAGGAAGCCUGCUCCUAGUACGAGAGGACCGGAGUGGACACACCUCUGGUGUAUCGGUUGUCACGCCAGUGGCAUUGCCGAGUAGCUAAGUGUGGAAGAGAUAACCGCUGAAAGCAUCUAAGCGGGAAACUCGUUUCAAGAUGAGAUCUGCCGGGGCCUUGAGCCCCCUAAAGAGUCGUUCAAGACCAGGACGUUGAUAGGUCAGGUGUGGAAGCG
rnacentral:rRNA from 1 species